AGAGGGGACAGCAUGCACAGAGAACUGGAGCUGUUGAAACCACGUGCUCACAGCCAGAGGACCACUGUGUGGUGUUGACUUAGGGCAAGGAGCCUGGAAAGGUUUGUUCUUCCAUGAGAGCAGGAACACACCUUUCUAUGGAGGGCACCUGACUCAGUGCUCAUCACAGAGUAUGUACCCAGCAAAUAUGUAUGAAAGAACAAAUGAACUCAGGAGAGAAAGAACUUCUAAUGCAAGCAGAAUAUCUUUGGUUACCAAUGACUAAGAACUGUGCAAUAGAAAAUACUAGCCCUGAAGUUAAGAAGAUGGCCCACUCAAAAGAUCUGAUCACACCAAACACCCAAAAGA
rnacentral:lncRNA from 1 species